rnacentral:lncRNA from 1 species
UGCCAACGGGACUUUUACGGCAAGAAUAGACUUUCUCAACUUUCCUUUUCUUCGAGCCCCGACAAAUGGGUCAGCAACCAAUGAGUCUAUAUAACCAUUAAAAACCAUGAAUUUUUUUGUUAGUAACAUGAAUUGAUGUGUUUUAAAAACUUUAGUUAGAUUUACGAAAAUUUGAAGACAACGAAAAAAGAACAUGUGCAUCACAAAAAACAGAAUCAAAAUUAUUCAUUACUCUAGCAAAAUUAAUCAAAAUUUCAAAACACCGAUUUUCUUUUUAUCUCUUCGUGUUGCUUCUGGUGACAUGGGAAUCAAAGGAGGAUGGUGGUAUGUUGUUGAUGCGGUGAAUCAGAGAGCCAAAGUUCAUUGCCCGGAAAUUUUC